ensembl:lncRNA novel transcript
UUUUUUCUUUCCUAGUUAGAGGCAUGGAGCUUUACAUAUGACAAGUGUUCUCUCAUUUGUUACCCUGCCCACUAAGUUCAAUAAGUCUCUACAUGAUUGGAUUCUCUUUACAAAGCAACUUAAACGAAUUGCAGUUAUGAUAUCAAGGAAAGAUUCCAGUGCUGAAGAACAGCCUGUUUUGGAAUUUACUCCCCCAAAUGCAGGCACAAGGCGAAUUUCAUACUGGGAUGGCUUAACUAACCUGUCUUGAUUUUAGAGUCACUAUAUCUGUCUACAUUUAAAAUAGAUAAUUAUCUUUUAACUAGGCCAAAGCAUUCAGGUUACAAAAAGUCACAGUGAAAAGUUAAGUUCUUGUCUCUGCAGGAAGCAGGCAAGAGCCCCACCCUCCUGGGCGCAGCCGCAGCUGCCCAAACUGCAGCUGCAGACCCAGGCAUCUCUGCACUCUCUGGGGCCAGGAAGGGCCCCCCUGCCCCUGCAGACUCAGAGGUGUCUGUUCCCACUUCCUGGACUCUCUCUGCUCCUGGCACCCACUCCGAUCUUGGAGCAAGGUUGGGGUCAAGCCUGGGUGCUGUCACAGCCCAGCCAGGUUGUGACACAGCAGCCCCCUGCUGCCUUGGCCCCCUCUGGACUUUGGGCACUGAUCAGUACGAGAGGGAGGCUGAGGUGGGGGCUGAGGGCAGCUCAUUGCUGGUCUGCAGGCGCCCUUCCGCACAAACAGCCUGGCAUGCCAUGAGCUGCAGCAAGAGGCAGAGAGGCUCCUGGGCGGAAGAGGGCAGGUCUCCAGUGAAGCUCCACCUUCAAGCUGGGGAGAGCCUGAAGCCUGAUGGCCAGGCUGUUGGUCCCAUGGACCAGAGUGGAAACUUGUGGUGCUUUUCCUGGGCCUGCCCAUGGCUGCCCAUGGACCAAUCAGCAUGCACGUCCUCUGCUCUGAAGCCCAUAAAAACCCCAGACUCAGGCAGACUUGGGGAGAUGACAGGACUACCAGUGGUGGAGAGGAGCUACCGACCCCAGGGACUCCUGUUGGCUGAGAGCUGAAGAUACAAUGGGACGACUAGCUGCAGAGAGGAGCUACCCACUCCAGGUUCUCCUCUCUGCUGUGAGCUGAAUGCUCAUCAGGACAUCUUGCCUGUGGAGAGGAGCUACCCAAUGCCGGUCUCCUCUGAGCUAUACUGUCACUCAAUAAAGCUCCUUUUUGCCUUGCUCACCCUCC